rnacentral:tRNA from 5 species
GCCCAAGUGGCGGAAUGGUAGACGCAGGGGAUUCAAAAUCCCCCGUCCUAACGGACGUGCCGGUUCGAGUCCGGCCUUGGGUACCA